UCCCUGGCAGUCCAAUGGUUAGGACUCUGAAUUCUCACUGCCAAGGGCCCAGGUUCAACCCCUGACCAGGGAA
rnacentral:tRNA from 1 species